CCUACGGGAGGCAGCAGUGGGGAAUAUUGGACAAUGGGGGCAACCCUGAUCCAGCCAUGCCGCGUGUGUGAAGAAGGCCCUCGGGUUGUAAAGCACUUUCAGUGAGGAAGAACGCCUGGUGGUUAAUACCCAUCAGGAAAGACAUCACUCACAGAAGAAGCACCGGCUAACUCCGUGCCAGUAGCCGCGGUAAUACGGAGGGUGCGAGCGUUAAUCGGAAUUACUGGGCGUAAAGCGCGCGUAGGUGGCUUGAUAAGCCGGUUGUGAAAGCCCCGGGCUCAACCUGGGAACGGCAUCCGGAACUGUCAAGCUAGAGUGCAGGAGAGGAAGGUAGAAUUCCCGGUGUAGCGGUGAAAUGCGUAGAGAUCGGGAGGAAUACCAGUGGCGAAGGCGGCCUUCUGGACUGACACUGACACUGAGGUGCGAAAGCGUGGGUAGCAAACAGGAUUAGAUACCCCAGUAGUC
rnacentral:rRNA from 1 species